GCCACGCGGGAGGCCACGUUGGCGAUCCGCGUGUCCGCGAUCAGACGGUCUGAAUUUGUUUCCACGCGCACGGACAGUCCUGAUCCAUUCUUCUUUUAAACGCGAUCGGAAAAUGCAGAUCAAAUCACAAUAAACGGUUUAGAUCCACUUCCUAUUUAAACGCGAUCAGAUGAUCCAAAUCAAAUCGCCAUGCAUGAUUCAGAUUCACUUUCUAUUUAAACGCGAUCGGAUGGUUCAAAUCAAACGCGAUGGACGGUCCAGAUUAAAAGGAGACAGAUAUAAAUAACCAUCUUCACACCAAACCCUAACCCUAGUCGC
rnacentral:lncRNA from 1 species